rnacentral:lncRNA from 1 species
GGAUACCAGGGGCAGAACGGGGAUUUGGGAAUACCAGGGGGGAGGGGUGGCGUGCGGGUGUAUGAGGUGUGGAGUGGACUGGAUAGUGAGCAGUGCGGACUACCGACCCGUUUAGAAUUUUUUUUUUGAUUUUCUGGUAUGGAAUGGAUAGGGCUAAAUUGUGGUGGGUCCACUGCCGUACGUAAGAUCGAGAAACUUUUGUGCAAGAUGUUGCGGUUUUUUCUUUUGUGCAAGAUGUCCACAAGUGGAUGGUGUGUGCUUUUCUAGCGAUAGGAAAAAUACAGAUCGAGUCGGUCUUGAAUAUCUGAAAUUAUAUUGUCCUCUUAAAAUUGUUUACAGAUGUACAUUUACAUAUAUGCGCGCGUAAAAAAGAAUUGAACCGAGAAUGGGUUAUUCCGUUUGUGUCAUUUUCUCGACGCAAGACGCAUGCUAGAAAUCUCAAAAACAAAUGUAGCAUACUAGUGUCACCUACAACACUGAGGGAACAAGUAAAUGUUUGCAAAAACACAAAAUCUCCUUGCACCAUGAAAAUAAGAAUAAAAAAAUCAUGUACCGUCGCACAAAAUUUGGGAGUGUAAAAAAAUCAUUGAAAAAUAUUAACAUGCAC